CGCCAGCCUCGGCCUCGGCCUCCCAAAGAGAUGGGAUUACAGGCGUGAGCCACAAGGAAGGAUGGAGAUAUGAGGCACAAGAACUACAAAUUCCCUCAGAAGGGAAGUGUGACUCUUGAUAUUUUGAAAACCAUAAUUUAUUUAUCGAAGAGAAACUACAGCUUGUAAGAUGUCAUCUUAAGGGAGACCAUCUUCCAUGUGAUAAAUUGUUGGCCCCAGGGAGAAACGUUUGCUGGGACUGAUGGGCGUAUAAUAAUACACACCCAGUGAGUGCGUGAGAUUCAUCGAGAAGGACGUUUGCCAUGACCCCUGAACCAGCCCAGACAGCUGACGGAGGCAACUUGAGGUGGGAAGAGAGAGAGAAGAAAAGUUGAAGUCACAGAGAGCACUUUCUCUACAGGCAGAGUCAAGAAAAGCCAGAAAAAUUUAAACUUCAAAAAUUCUGGACUUGCUUUUAAAGGCUUUCUGUUUUUUAUUUACAUAGUGAUGAAGAAAAAAGAAUUUGGGUGUGUAUAUUUGAGUUCCAUCUAGGGAUUCUCACAGCCUCCCUAUCCAUGUCGUCAUCUGUAUCCACAUCACCUCUGUUUACAUCCAUACCCUUCUCUACACUUUAAUCCACUUCCAUAUCUUCUCAUCUUCCUCAUGUCUGGAUCAUCCUGGUGGUACAAAUAGGGUGGACGGAGGAGCACUGGGAGUAACAUAAACGAUGUUUGACGACUAGAACAAACUGAACAAGUACGAACUCCACCUGUCUUUGCAGUAUAUUUUUGAAAAACUUUGUAAAGGGUUCAAGUCUAAAUUGUUUUACAUAUAACAUGAGCCAAUGGAAGGAGCACAAGAGUUUUACAUCAGAAGGUCUUGUUUCAUAGAGUUCCUUGGAAAAGUGCUUGAUUCUAGGACUGGGUCAGGGAAAAUCUAAUUGAGCAUGAAAAUCUUGUGAUGUCACAAAAUAAGGAAGGACUGAAAACAACGACAGCUACUCUCCAAUGACAGGAUCAAAAGCAUACAAGACCCCACCUAAAGGGUUUACAAUGGCCAAAGUUGGAACAAUUUGACCAGGAAAAUAAUGAUCGUAUUUGAUUCUAAACUAGUGGAAUAAAAUAAAUAUCCAUCACUCCAU